GCCUCUAUAGAUCAGUGUUAGAUCACCUCCGCUGCGUGUGUUGGUAUCCAGGCAUACUUCGAAGGAGACGUAGGUUCGAGUCCUGCUCGGGGCG